CACGUAGGAGGCGAGCGUUGUCCGGAAUCAUUGGGCGUAAAGAGCGCGCAGGCGGCUUGGCAAGUCGGGUGUGAAAUCCCGGGGCUCAACCCCGGGACUGCAUUCGAUACUGUCAGGCUAGAGGUAGGUAGGGGAGAUCGGAAUUCCUGGUGUAGCGGUGAAAUGCGUAGAUAUCAGGAGGAAUACCGGUGGCGAAAGCGACUCUCUGGACGGCAACUGACGCUGAGGCACGAAAGCGUGGGGAGCAAACAGG
rnacentral:rRNA from 1 species